CUCAUAUUGCGCUCCUGCAGCCUCUGCAGCCAGCUCAAACCCGGGCUGCUGCUCCUGGGGCUAUUGCUCCUAUCAGCUGUGGUCAAAGUCGCCAGAGGUGAGGACCCUGAAGAAGAUAGGGAGUUUCAGUGCAUGUGUGCAAAGACCAGGUACAAAGUCAAUGCCAAGGACAUCACCAACCUGGAGAUGAUCAAGCCAGGACCCCACUGUGCCACCGCCCAGAUGAUAGCUACACUGAAGAAUGGGAGUAGAGUUUGCCUUGCAGGGCAAGUCUCCUUCUUUAAGGCAUUAAUUGGAAAACUCAUGAAGAGGUAGUUUCUACCUGGCUAAAUGUGUACUUUGCUAUAUAACAAGUUUGGGUGUUACACCCACCACACACAUACACACACAUUCGCUCUAACUAAAAAAGCAUCUUCUAAUGCUUAUAUUAUCCUUCAAAUCUUAAAUAAAUAAAUAAUAUGAAUCGA